CAUCUGGGCAGUUUCUGCCUCUUGGUUAUUGUGAAUAGAGUUGCUAUGGACAUGUGUGUACAUGUAUUUGUUUGAGUACUUGUUUCCAAUUCUUAUUUCACCUAGGAGUAGAAUUGCUGGGCUGCAAUUGUUAUAAACUAAAAUUAUAUUCAGUUUAGAAAAGAACUUCUUUAGGAAAGACUUUAGAAAGAACUGCUAAAUGUUCUAAUUUUGUAUCUUGCGGUCUUUUCCUCUGAUAAAAAUGAUACCAUUUAGAGCCAGUGAAUAACUUGCCAUGCAGUUUCCUGAUUUCUCUCCCCCUGGCUGUUGCCUUUACUAGUUGGAGCAUUUCGGUAAUGCAUAACCAUGUUUCUCUUUUUGACUUUCUCUUCACAGUCUACAAUGAUUAUUCCAAACCUCCUUCACUGGCCUCAAAAUUAACUUUCCCUUUACCCAUCUCACUUGGAACAGAUGACCUUUCUUUCAACUUCUCCAAAAAGUUAAAAGCCAUCAUCUGGGAACUCCCUAGAUGUCCCAGGCCAAAGCUGUAAAGCUUCUUGCAGCAGUAGCCAAUCCUCAUUGCCCUCCUAUUAUGAUAAAGGAAGUGUCUCUUAAUAAAGGAUGUCUUUGUACGUCUGUCCCCUUCCUACUGCCUUCAGGGUACCUGCUAUCUCUUAAUGCUCUUGUUCAUUCUCUCAUUUGUAUUCAUUCUCAUUUUUUUCUUCUCCCCUUCCCUCUCUCUUGCUCUUCAUCAAUUAUAAACUUGCUCAAGUAUUUUCCAACUUCAAGUUUCACACCCUCAAGUUUUCACUUUCUCCCUUGCUCUUCCUGGGCAGCAUCUUGAAAGCAUGCUUACACUUAGUGCACUCACUCUUGCCUCUCGUUCACUCCUGACCUCCUCCAGCCUGACUUACAUCCAUCACUUCACAAAAGUAGCUCCUCCAGGGAUUAAAACAGCAGCAUUUGACACACUUGAUCAUGCCUCCUUUAAAAACUCUUACACACACCCUCCUGGUUCCUCUGCCUUUUUAGGCAGCUUCCUCUGCCCUCCUUUGUUGGAUCUUCCUUCCCUAUCUGACCUGUAACAGGGCUUCUAUUUGUUGGCUUUCUUAAGAGCUCAGUCCUGGGCUUUCUUUUCCUCUCUAUUUUUAUUCUCUACCUCAGCAAACUCCUGUGGCUUCACAUACUACAUAAGCGACAACUUCCAAAUUCCAGUCUCUGCCAAGACCUUCUGAAAUCCAGACCCAUGUAGCCAACUGCCAUUUUGACAUCUCCACUUCCUAUUCAAACGUGCCCAAGACUACGCUUCCUAAUAGCCAGCAUGCAUUCCUUAUCUCAGUAAAUGGUCUACCCAGGUGCUUAAGCCUGAAACCCAGGAUCAUCUUUGUGACCUCCUCCUCCUUCAAACACACUAUCUACUCCCUUACCAUACACUGUUGAUUUUAUUCUAAAUGUAUCUGAAAUCUAUUCAUUACAUCUCUCAGCCAUGAUGGAGUUGAAGAAAAAAAUAAGUCCUGUGCUCAAAGUUUCUAUCCUGGAACAUCAGAAAAUUCUAUGAAAUUUAGAAAUAAAUGUUUGGUUUCAAGAGAAAGCUUACCCUGAACUUUUGACAACCACGGUAAAUAUUUCCCCAUUGAGUCAGAAACCCAGCCCCAUUAUCCUCACUAAUUCUUUUAUAUCUUACAGUUCUUCACUGCUUAUUAGUUAUUUAUAUUAUUUGACAUGAUAUCACUAGUACCCUUAGGUGAGAGGAGGUAAUCUUUGUUUCUGAAUUUAAAUUUACCUUAAAACUUAAUGUUAUACAUUGUGGGGAAGGGGAAAAAUAAAAAGGUACUAUCUUACCUUGUAAGCAGGACUACAGAUUGGCACAACCAUUUGGAAGGCAAAGUGACCCUAUCAAAGUUUUAAGGGUGUGUUCCAUUAUUAGAAAUUUAAUUUAUAGGUAUAUCAUCAAAGGAUACCCCCAAAAUGAAUGAGGAUAUUCAUUGUAGCAUUAUUUGUAAUAGCAAAAAAAUCUGGUAGCUUAAGUAUAUGAAAUACAUCCAUAUGUUAGAUACAGCCUUUAAGAAAGAGCUAGAUUCCGAGUUCCGACCCGGACCCGUACGCUGCUAUGCUGACGUGGCUCCCGGAAGUAAGGCCGGCGUAGGGCCGCCAUGUUGCAGCAGGAUAGUAAUGAUGACACUAAAGGUGUUUCACUGUUUAAUGUGGAAGAGGAGACGACCAAUAGACCAAGAAAAGUCAAAAUAAGACAUCCAGUAGCAUCGUUUUUCCACUUAUUCUUUCGAGUCAGUGCAAUCAUCGUCUAUCUUCUUUGUGAGUUGCUCAGCAGCAGCUUUAUUUCCUGUAUGGUAACAAUUAUCUUCUUGUUGUCAUGUGACUUUUGGGCAGUGAAGAAUGUCACAGGUAGACUGAUGGUUGGCCUACGUUGGUGGAAUCACACUGUGAAGAUGGAAAGAGCCAUUGGGUGUUUGAAUCUAGAAAGGAGUCCUCUGAAGAGAAUAAAACUGUGUCAGAGGCUGAAUCAGGAAUCUUUUGGUUGGGACUUACUGCCUGUCCAGUGCUGUGGGUGAUAUUUGCCUUUAGUGCACUCUUCUCCUUCAGAGUAAAGUGGUUGCCAGUGGUUAUCAUGGGUGUGGUGCUACAAGGUGCCAACCUCUAUGGUUACAUCAGGUGUAAGGUGGGCAGCAGAAAGAAUUUAACCAGCAUGGCUACUUUAUAUUUUGGAAAGCAAUUUUUAAGACAAAACACUGGAGAUGAUCAGACUUCCUGAAUAGAGAAAGCUUAUGUGCUUUGUUACAUUGGGGAACAACUGAAGAGAUAAGUCUUGACUCCGAACUGAACCUUUUAGAGCUUAGUCCAUGUUGCAACGAGGAGUGUUGGCUUUGUUUUUCCACUUAAAAACUUCAUUUAUAAAAAGGAAAAAUAGUUUUCAUAUUAAGUUUUUAUUUCCUUUCCAGCAGUUGGGGCGAGAAAGUAUAUGUUGGCACUAGAAACAUUGUCAAGAUUUGUUCUGUGGUGUAGGUAUGCACAUUCCAUAGGUAUGCACACAGCCAUGUAAUAUCAGUAUAUCCCAAGUUAAUGAAAGUGUUCAUUUACAUAGGUAAUGGAGACCUUUGCAUUUUGAUCCAUAGAACAUAGGAUGUUCUUAAUCUGUCUCAAAGCUCUGUAUGUUUACAUAUUAUUUCUGUAGAUUGUUUUCAGGAGAAAGUUUUGCUUCCAUGGUAAGAGCGAGCACUUUGGCUUCUGUAUAAGUUAGAAAUAAUUGUUAGUUUUUAAUAUGUACUUUGUGGGGAAAUUUCUUAGAUGUAUGCAAGCAAGUGAAAACAAUUAGGGCCAGUGGUAUUAACUACUUUAUAAAAUUUUGUUUUUAUUUGUAAGAAGUCAUCUACUUAAGGCCCAGUUAAUAUAGAUGGAAUCAUCGUAGUUUAAGGAAUACCCAGAGACUGCUGCUGUUCUAUUUAUUUUACAGAAAGCAUAGCUAGAUUGAAAGCUCUUCAGUGGACCUUGAGCUAAUAGAUCUUUUACCACUAAAAGAGCAUUGUUCUCAUGUCAUAAUGAGAAUAAGCAUUUACAUACUUGGCAUAAUAAAUGCCUAAAAGACAUUUUAUUUUCUGAAUCUAUUUUUUCUUGCUAUAAUGGGGAUAUUGUAAAUUAUGCAUUUGUAUUAAUGAUAUUUCUUAAAGCAAUCUAUGUAACUGUAAACUAAACCAAUCUACAAACUAUCGUAGGCAUCUGUAAAUUCUGUUGUAGGUAUUAUAAACCUUGUUGAAGUCUUAAUCAGCAGAUUAUGUUGUGAAUAUAUUUGUACAUUGUUAAAAUAGUUUUUAAGAUUAUUUGUUUAAUUGAAUAAGUGUCUUAUUGGAGUGAUAGCUUUGAAGGUGCAAAACUUUAUAUUUGUAUAAAAUUCUACUGUUUACAAGG